rnacentral:rRNA from 1 species
UACAUAGGGAGCAAGCGUUAUCCGGAUUUAUUGGGUGUAAAGGGUGCGUAGACGGGAGAGCAAGUUAGUUGUGAAAUCCCUCGGCUUAACUGAGGAACUGCAACUAAAACUAUUCUUCUUGAGUGCAGGAGAGGUAAGUGGAAUUCCUAGUGUAGCGGUGAAAUGCGUAGAUAUUAGGAGGAACACCAGUGGCGAAGGCGACUUACUGGACUGUAACUGACGUUGAGGCACGAAAGUGUGGGGAGCAAAC